CCUACGGGCGGCAGCAGUGGGGAAUAUUGGACAAUGGGGGGAACCCUGAUCCAGCGACGCCGCGUGAGUGAAGAAGUAUUUCGGUAUGUAAAGCUCUAUCAGCAGGGAAGAAAGAAAUGACGGUACCUGACUAAGAAGCCCCGGCUAACUACGUGCCAGCAGCCGCGGUAAUACGUAGGGGGCAAGCGUUAUCCGGAUUUACUGGGUGUAAAGGGAGCGUAGGCGGCGAUGCAAGUCUGAAGUGAAAGGCGGGGGCCCAACCCCGGGACUGGUGUGGAAACUGUAGGGCUGGAGUGCAGGGAAGGUAGGUGGAAUUCCUAGUGUAGCGGUGAAAUGCGUAGAUAUUAGGAGGAACACCAGUGGCGAAGGCAGCUUGCUGGACUGUAACUGACGUUGAGGCUCGAAAGCGUGGGGAGCGAACAGGAUUAGAUACCCGAGUAGUC
rnacentral:rRNA from 1 species